AUUGAACGCUGGCGGAAUGCUUUACACAUGCAAGUCGAGCGGCAGCACGGGGGCAACCCUGGUGGCGAGCGGCGAACGGGUGAGUAAUACAUCGGAACAUGCCCAGUCGUGGGGGAUAACACUUCGAAAGAAGUGCUAAUACCGCAUACGUCCUGAGGGAGAAAGCGGGGGAUCUUCGGACCUCGCGCGAUUGGAGUGGCCGAUGUCAGAUUAGCUAGUUGGUGGGGUAAAGGCCUACCAAGGCAACGAUCUGUAGCUGGUCUGAGAGGAUGGUCAGCCACACUGGGACUGAGACACGGCCCAGGCUCCUACGGGAGGCAGCAGUGGGGAAUUUUGGACAAUGGGGGCAACCCUGAUCCAGCCAUUCCGCGUGAGUGAAGAAGGCCUUCGGGUUGUAAAGCUCUUUCGGCAGGAACGAAACGGCGAGCUCUAACAUAGCUUGCUAAUGACGGUACCUGAAGAAGAAGCACCGGCUAACUACGUGCCAGCCGCCGCAGUAAAAC
rnacentral:rRNA from 1 species